rnacentral:tRNA from 1 species
ACCUUGGUGGUUCAAUAGUAGAAUUCUCGCCUUCCAUGUGGGAGCCCCAGGUUCAAUCCCUGCCCAGUGCA